CAGCAGCCGCGGGAAUACAGAGGGUGCAAGCGUUAAUCGGAAUUACUGGGCGUAAAGCGCGCGUAGGUGGUUUGUUAAGUUGAAUGUGAAAUCCCCGGGCUCAACCUGGGAACUGCAUCCAAAACUGGCAAGCUAGAGUAGGGCAGAGGGUGGUGGAAUUUCCUGUGUAGCGGUGAAAUGCGUAGAUAUAGGAAGGAACACCAGUGGCGAAGGCGGCCAUCUGGGACAACACUGACGCUGAGGCACGAAAGCGUGGGGAGCAAACAGGAUUAGAUACCCCUGUAGUCCCUGUCUCUUAUAC
rnacentral:rRNA from 1 species